GGAAUUUAUAUAGGUAAUUACCAAUAUCAGAAGUUUCUAUAGAAACUAGCUAUUCAAAUCCAUAAAAGAAAUUCUAGUCUAUCAAAACUUCACAUAGUCUAAAAUGCUUUCCAUAAAAUUGCUAGUACAAUCUAUUCUCUACAAGUUAUGUAAUAAGCACCACAUAAUAAGCAUUGGCUGGUCAUGGGAUUUUUGGUGUCAAACCAAGCAUAGAUUUGCCGAUAAUGUAUUGAUAUUCUUUGAUGGAUCGGAAUCCUCUCUUUGUGGCAUCUUUCUGUUUUUGACGAUUUUUGAUUACCAACCUUCAAAUAAGUAAGGAGAAGUUAUAUUUGCAACAAAGAAAACAAGAAAUUUGCUACAAAUAUUUUAAAAGGACUAAAUAUCCAUGCAUUAUUUUAAUUAUCCUCAAACAUCAAUUUCUCAAAGACGAUUUACAUCAACACAAGAGGAAAAGUAUAUGAAAUCACGAAAUUUAGCGUUCAGAUCCUAAGUAUGAUUCAAAACGAUGGUGCUUCAUUGACAAGGAACAUGACAUAAAGAUGCUUCGAGAUAUAAUAAGUAUAUGAUUCCUUAUAAGAAAUAGAAAACACCAAACCUUUACUCGUCCUGAACAGAGUCUGAAUCCACCUCUCUGCUUCUUGCUUACGUUUGGAUGAGCUUUUUGAUCUUUCCUUUCUGCCGAUGACACAAUAUCCCAGCAUAGUCACAGAUUUUGAAAUUGGAUGAAAAACAAAUUCUAACUUGAAAAAAAUAAAAGGAAUAGAGAAAAUUUGUCGCAGGUUUCUGUGUUGUCUUUUUUUUUUUUGGUUUCUG
rnacentral:lncRNA from 1 species